rnacentral:rRNA from 1 species
GGCCUAACACAUGCAAGUCGAGCGGUAUAGAUUUUUCGGAAUCUAGAGAGCGGCGUACGGGUGCGGAACACGUGUGCAACCUACCUUUAUCAGGGGGAUAGCCUUUCGAAAGGAAGAUUAAUACCCCAUAAUAUAUUGACUGGCAUCAGUCGAUAUUGAAAACUCCGGUGGAUAGAGAUGGGCACGCGCAAGAUUAGAUAGUUGGUAGGGUAACGGCCUACCAAGUCAGUGAUCUUUAGGGGGCCUGAGAGGGUGAUCCCCCACACUGGUACUGAGACACGGACCAGACUCCUACGGGAGGCAGCAGUGAGGAAUAUUGGACAAUGGGUGAGAGCCUGAUCCAGCCAUCCCGCGUGAAGGACGACGGCCCUAUGGGUUGUAAACUUCUUUUGUAUAGGGAUAAACCUACUCUCGUGAGAGUAGCUGAAGGUACUAUACGAAUAAGCACCG